AGCAGUAGCCGCGGGAAUACGUAGGGUGCGAGCGUUGUCCGGAAUUAUUGGGCGUAAAGCGUGCGCAGGCGGUUUGUUAAGACAGAUGUGAAAUCCCCGGGCUCAACCUGGGAACUGCAUUUGUGACUGGCAAGCUAGAGUCUGGCAGAGGGGGGUGGAAUUCCGCGUGUAGCAGUGAAAUGCGUAGAUAUGCGGAGGAACACCGAUGGCGAAGGCAGCCCCCUGGGCCAACACUGACGCUCAUGCACGAAAGCGUGGGGAGCAAACAGGAUUAGAUACCCCCGUAGUCCCUGUCUCUUAUAC
rnacentral:rRNA from 1 species